rnacentral:rRNA from 1 species
AGCGAACGCUGGCGGCGGGCCUAACACAUGCAAGUCGAACGAACUCUUCGGAGUUAGUGGCGGACGGGUGAGUAACACGUGGGAACGUGCCUUUUGGUUCGGAAUAACUCAGGGAAACUUGUGCUAAUACCGAAUGUGCCCUUCGGGGGAAAGAUUUAUCGCCAUUAGAGCGGCCCGCGUCUGAUUAGCUAGUUGGUGAGGUAACGGCUCACCAAGGCGACGAUCAGUAGCUGGUCUGAGAGGAUGACCAGCCACACUGGGACUGAGACACGGCCCAGACUCCUACGGGAGGCAGCAGUGGGGAAUCUUGCGCAAUGGGCGAAAGCCUGACGCAGCCAUGCCGCGUGAAUGAUGGAGGUCUUAGGAUUGUAAAAUUCUUUCACCGGGGACGAUAAUGACGGUACCCGGAGAAGAAGCCCCGGCUAACUUCGUG